GAUAUCGUCAUUGAAAAAACAACAUUGGUUUUCUUUAAAAAAAAUAGGGACAUUUCCAAGUGACCCAACCCUUUUGACCGGUAGGGUACGUCAAUGUUCUCCAAGUGGUGCUGUGCGUGGAUGUCGUCUGGAAGUACACUCCAGGGCUGGCUUUACAGCGGAAGUAGAGGCGCUGGCAGUGUAACCACAACAGCAGCGCAGGCUGAGCCAUGUGAUGACAUCUGCUGGGAAUGCAUAGGCUUCAUCACCGCAGCGCAAACAAAGUGCGGAAGGAUAGCGGAAUAACCUAUGGUGUGUUACCCAGAGGGGCGCUGCAGUUUGGUUUGGUUAACCAUUGGAUGACCCCCAAAAGCAGAGCAAAGAGGAGAACAGACAGAGAAGAAUUGAAAAACAGCGUUUCUAUCAGGAAUUGUGAUCCCAUGUCUUCCGUUGCCGUUGGUCUCGGGUUCAUUCUGUCAGACUGGCUAAUGACUGUUUGGAUACAGUUGACUCAUUGGGAACACAUGUGAAGCGAACAGGACGACCCUGGGACAAACAGGUUUGGCACACACACCUGCCCGCAACGCCGCAACAUCACGUACCAAACCCUUUGAUACAAACCCAUGUCUGGUUAUAAUUACUUAGAGCUUGUUUACAUUUUUUGGGCCCGAGCAAUUAUGUGUGUGUGUGUUUGUGUGAAUUCCGAUGCACAUAUGCGUGCGAGCAUUCCUUAAUUUGAAAAAGCAGAGGGACAUUGCUUUAAUUUGUGUAACAUGUUGAACCAAGUCUUUCAAGACAGUUUGGAUCGUUUACGUCGUAGACUAAGUCCUACCUAGCCUGAGAAUAACCAAUAAGUACAGUGUCGGGAUGUAAGUGGGCCCUUAACAAUUAUAAGUACAUUGGGAACUUCAAUGUUGACAGCCUUCGACUUAAAAAUAAACCAGUCCAGCGGCUACAUGCGGGCUGUGUCCACACACUUGUGUUUUUUCAGAAGCGGGGCUUUUUGAAGUGACACUCACGGACGUCGGUGAGCUUACCUUCCUGUCAGAGCCUGCUGUCCACUUGGGUUUCAAGCACCAAAACACAUUUCACCCUCCAAAAAUAACCUGCCCGGGCGCGAGUGCGACUCCACUACAGCCACGGGGCAACAGGGCCGUCAUUAUACUAGAAGUGUCACUGGCUUUGGUACGGUGGAGGAAGGAGCCGACCGAAUCCUUCAAUGUCCCGGGUCACUUGGAGGUCUGCUUCCACCAGCUGCAGGCCAGAGGAGAGCCACGUCAGUGAUUUGCUGUCAGCAUCGUAAGUGACCCGCUCUAAUGUCUUUCCACCUUCCUCAUUCCCCCCCUGCAUGUAACGCAAUUAAUUCUGGCUUAAUUUGCAUUACCUUCUUGUUAAGACUUAGCCCG